GGUAAAACGGAAAAUGCCACAAC
rnacentral:siRNA from 1 species